AUCCAGCUGACGAGUCCCAAAUAGGAGGAAACGCAUGUCCUGGAU
rfam:Schistosoma mansoni, Puerto Rico, WGS project CABG01000000 data, contig: 0134